GUGUCAGCCGCCGCGGUAAUACGAAGGGUGCGAGCGUUAAUCGGAAUUACUGGGCGUAAAGCGCGCGUAGGUCCAAUGUUAAGUUGGAAGUGAUUGGGCCGGGCUCAACCUGGGAAUUGCUUUCAAAACUGACAGGCUAGAGUACGGUAGAGGGUAGUGGAAUUUGCUGUGUAGCGGUGAAAUGCGUAGAUAUAGGAAGGAACAUCAGUGGCGAAGGCGACUACCUGGACUGAUACUGACACUGAGGUGCGAAAGCGUGGGGAGCAAACAGGAUUAGAUACCCCCGUAGUCC
rnacentral:rRNA from 1 species